AUUGAACGCUGGCGGCAGGCCUAACACAUGCAAGUCGAGCGGAUGAAUGGAGCUUGCUCCUGGAUUCAGCGGCGGAGGGGUGAGUAAUGCCUAGGAAUCUGCCUUGUCGUGGGGGAUAACGUCCGGAAACGGGCGCUAAUACCGCAUACGUCCUGAGGGAGACAGUGGGUGAGCUUCGGAUCUCACGCUAUCAGAUUAGCCUAGGUCGGAUUAGCUAGUUGGUGGGGUAACGGCCUACCAAGGCGACGAUCCGUAACUGGUCUGAGAGGAUGAUCAGACACAUGGGAACAGAGAAACGGCCCAGACUCCGACGGGAGGCAGCAGUGGGGAAUAUUGGACGAUGGGCGAAAGCCUGAUCCAGCCAAACCGGGGGUGGGAAGAAGGUCUUAUGAUUGGAAAGCGAUUUAAGUUGGAAGGAAGGACAGCAAGUUUAUACCGGGCUGUUUUGACGGUACCGACAGAAUAAGCACCGGCUAACUUCGUG
rnacentral:rRNA from 1 species